UACGUAGGGUGCGAGCGUUAAUCGGAAUUACUGGGCGGAAAGCGUGCGCAGGCGGUUCGUUAUGUCCGUUGUGAAAGCCCCGGGCUCAACCUGGGAAUGGCAAUGGAAACUGGCGGGCUAGAGUGUGGCAGAGGGGGGUGGAAUUCCGCGUGUAGCAGUGAAAUGCGUAGAGAUGCGGAGGAACACCGAUGGCGACGGCAGCCCCCUGGGCCAAUACUGACGCUCAGGCACGAAAGCGUGGGGAGCAAACAGG
rnacentral:rRNA from 1 species